CGGAGCGUAGCGCAGCCUGGUAGCGCACCUGCUUCGGGAGCAGGGGGUCGGAGGUUCAAAUCCUCUCGCUCCGACCA
rnacentral:tRNA from 2 species